rnacentral:rRNA from 1 species
UACGUAGGGGGCGAGCGUUGUCCGAAGUUACUGGGCGUAAAGGGUGCGCAGGCGGCCUGGCGCGUCGCGAGUGAAAUCUCCUGGCUCAACUGGGAGGGUGGUCGCGAGACGGCUGGGCUUGAGGCUCGGUGAGGGGCGUGGAAUUCCGGGUGGAGCGGUGAAAUGCGUAGAGAUCCGGAGGAACACCGACGGCGUAGGCAGCGCCCUAGACGAGACCUGACGCUCAGGCACGAAAGCGCGGGGAGCGAACAGG